CAGUAGCCGCGGGAAUACGUAGGUGGCAAGCGUUGUCCGGAAUUAUUGGGCGUAAAGGGCUCGCAGGCGGUUUCUUAAGUCUGAUGUGAAAGCCCCCGGCUCAACCGGGGAGGGUCAUUGGAAACUGGGAAACUUGAGUGCAGAAGAGGAGAGUGGAAUUCCACGUGUAGCGGUGAAAUGCGUAGAGAUGUGGAGGAACACCAGUGGCGAAGGCGACUCUCUGGUCUGUAACUGACGCUGAGGAGCGAAAGCGUGGGGGGCGAACAGGAUUAGAUACCCCAGUAGUCCCUGUCUCUUAUAC
rnacentral:rRNA from 1 species